rnacentral:rRNA from 1 species
GAUGAACGCUAGCGGCAGGCCUAAUACAUGCAAGGCGAGGGGUUCGCAAGGACACCGUCGUACGGGUGCGUAACGCGUAUGCAACCUACCUAUCACAGGGGGAUAGCCUUUGGAAACAGGGAUUAAUACCGCAUAAAGCAGGGGCUUGGCAUCAAGAUACUGCUAAAGAUUUAUCGGUGAUAGAUGGGCAUGCGUCUGAUUAGUUAGUUGGCAGGGUAACGGCCUACCAAGACGAUGAUCAGUAGGGGGCGUCAGAGCGUGGUCCCCCACACUGGCACUGAGAUACGGGCCAGACUCCUACGGGAGGCAGCAGUAGGGAAUAUUGGGCAAUGGGUGCAAGCCUGACCCAGCCAUGCCGCGUGGAGGAAGAAGGUCCUCUGGAUUGUAAAUAUCUUUUAUCUGGGAAGAAACAAUCUUAUUCUUAAGAUCUUGACGGUACCAGAGGAAUAAGCACCGGCUAACUCCGUGCCAGCAGCCGCGGUAAAUGCGACG